rnacentral:rRNA from 1 species
GACGAACGCUGGCGGCGUGCUUAACACAUGCAAGUCGAACGGAAAGGCCCUGCUUUUGUGGGGUGCUCGAGUGGCGAACGGGUGAGUAACACGUGAGUAACCUGCCCUUGACUUUGGGAUAACUUCAGUAAACUGGGGCUAAUACCGGAUAGGAGCUCCUGCUGCAUGGUGGGGGUUGGAAAGUUUCGGCGGUUGGGGAUGGACUCGCGGCUUAUCAGCUUGUUGGUGGGGUAGUGGCUUACCAAGGCUUUGACGGGUAGCCGGCCUGAGAGGGUGACCGGCCACAUUGGGACGGAGAUAAGGCCCAGACUCCUACGGGAGGCAGAAGUGGGGAAUAUUGCACAAUGGGCGGAAGCCUGAUGCAGCAACGCCGCGUGCGGGAUGACGGCCUUCGGGUUGUAAACCGCUUUCGCCUGUGACGAAGCGUGAGUGACGGUAAUGGGUAAAGAAGCACCGGCUAACUACGUG